GACGAACGCUGGCGGCGUGCUUAACACAUGCAAGUCGAACGGAAAGGCCCUGCUUUUGUGGGGUGCUCGAUUGGCGAACGGGUGAGUAACACGUGAGUAACCUGCCCUUAACUUAGGGAUAACUUCAGGAAACUGGGGCUAAUACCGGAUAGGAGCUCCUGCUGCAUGGUGGGGGUUGGAAAGUUUCGGCGGUUGGGGAUGGACUCGCGGCUUAUCAGCUUGUUGGUGGGGUAGUGGCUUACCAAGCCUUUGACGGGUAGCCGGCCUGAGAGGGUGACCGGCCACAAUGGGACUGAGAUACGGCCCAGACUCCUACGGGAGGCAGCAGUGGGGAAUAUUGCACAAUGGGCGGAAGCCUGAUGCAGCAACGCCGCGUGCGGGAUGACGGCCUUCGGGUUGUAAACCGCUUUCGCCUGUGACGAAGCGUGAGUGACGGUAAUGGGUAAAGAAGCACCGGCUAACUACGUG
rnacentral:rRNA from 1 species